UACGUAGGGGGCUAGCGUUGUCCGGAAUCAUUGGGCGUAAAGCGCGUGUAGGCGGCCCGGUAAGUCCGCUGUGAAAGUCGGGGGCUCAACCCUCGGAUGCCGGUGGAUACUGUCGGGCUCGAGUACGGAAGAGGCGAGUGGAAUUCCUGGUGUAGCGGUGAAAUGCGCAGAUAUCAGGAGGAACACCGAUUGCGAAGGCAGCUCGCUGGGACGUAACUGACGCUGAGGAGCGAAAGCGGUGGGGAGCGAACAGG
rnacentral:rRNA from 1 species